ensembl:miRNA
AUGGGCAGUGUCCUGAGAGAGCACCAAGGGAGCUGCGUGGGGCUAUUUAUCACAGCGUCCCUCCGUGCUGUCCCAUGGCUUGGAACCAAAA